GCAGGUGGUGGGAAACAGUACACAUUAUAAUAGAAGUAUCAUCCUUAAGAAAAUCAUGAUUAACCCAUGUGUGUAAUAUAUUUGUAAUCCCUGGGCUGAGAAAAUAGAAACAGGUGAAUCCCAGAAAAAAACAAAACAAAACAACAACAUAGAGGACCAGCAUAACCUACUUCACAAGUAAAUGACCCUGUCUUAAAAAAUGCAUGUGUCCAAGAUACAAUACUUACAUUAUUCUAUACUCCCCCCCAGCAUAGUCAUACUUGCCCAGCAUGGUGCACAGGUUCAUACAUGCACACAUAUGCAUGUAUACACACAUUAAAAAAGAAAAUUAUGAUUGAAUUAAUUGAUUGGGAAGCUUUCUCCAAAUAAAAUCUCUUAUAAGAUAGUCUAGAUCAGUGGUUUUCAACCUUCCUAAUGUGUGACCCUUUAAUAUAGUUUCUCAUGUUCCGGUGACUCCCCAGCCAUAAAAUUAUUUUUGUUGACACUUCAUAACUAUAAUUUUGCUACUGUUAUGCAUUGCAGUGUAAAUAUCUGCAUCCUCUGAUGGUCUUAGGAGACCACUGUGGAAGGUUCAUUCCACCCUCAAGGGGAUCAUGAUCCACAGAUUGAGAACCAUGGGUCUAGACUAAAGAGUGUAUCUAUGAAUGAUGAGGUGAAAAUGAGAAAGGUUCUGGGUCCUAAUCUGAAAAUGUUUCCCAGUUUGUACUGUGCGUAUGGCUUACAGACGCAUUUGUGACACACGAAGAGACGCCUAUGGAACACAUCCAUCUGCAGAGUGUGGGCUGCUGCAGGCAUAUUCCACCAUUUUCUGUGUGAGCGCAUGAAUAAAGCACAUGGAGCUCUAAGGGGCCACCAGGACAGUCUUCCAUAGUCCCCGAAUUCCCAUGUUAAGUGAUAGCACAAAGAACUAAGCCUGUCUGGUCUACAAGAACUGGGUUUCCUUUCACAACCCAGAAUGGUGUGCACAGGUGCUGGUGACACAGCUUCCCAAGAGUCCCCCCACUCCAAAUCUGACCAAUCAAUUUGGACAACUUUGAGAAGCAGUUCAAAUCUGAUUUGUUUUAAAUUAUUCUCUUUCUUACCUUGUAUUUCUUUCCUUAAGAAACUCGAGUCUGAUCUGUUUUUAGGACUCGGCCCACUGAGUUGGACUUGAUGGGUUCAGUUUCACUGCUGUUUUUCUUCUUUAAAAAGAAGAAUACAGGAGUUCUGUCCCCCACAACUAGAAAAGCAUUAAUUCUUUCUUCUUCUAUUUAGACACUUAAAUGCAUACUAUGGUAGGUACAUGCAUUGCAAUUCCUGGAAAUAGUGGGGAGUUGGUUCCCCUAUGCCCUUCUAACCUUUCCUUUUAAAUAGCUUGGUGACUUCUCAUGACCCACAAGUAAAUGACACCAGCUAAAUACCUGAAAUUUAACCUGUUUGAGUAUUAGUUUCCAUUUCAUUUGUGGGACUUUUCCACUGUAAGAAUUAUUUUAUUUUUCCUGGCAUCAUUCUCCAUCCUAUCCUCUGUACACCUUAGAAGGCCCCUCUUUCCUAGGCUGAGGAUCAGUGGGAUCAACUACUGCACUCUCAAGAGGGAGACACACACUGGAGGGAAAACAGCUGGCCUGGAGUCCAUUCUGUCAUAACACACUGAUCCUAAUUCCUUUCAUACUCUAUUAAGUUUCUUGUAAACUCCUGCUAGAAUAGGUAUAUUUAUUUAUAGUGUGCAUGUGUCAUGUGUGUGUGUGUGUGUGUGUGUGUGUGUAGGGGUACUCAUGUUAAGCUCAGAGAAUACUUCUCACUAGUUGGUCUGUCCCACUCCCUUGUGGAAUGCGUACACUGAACAUAGGCAGUGAUGCCUGGCCAGAAGAGUCUCUACUCAGUAAAUAAUCCUGUCAGCCCAGCAUUUUAUGUUUGAAAACCAGGAAGACAUGAUAAGCAAUUAGAAUAUUUCUUCAAGUUCUAGAAAUUAGGACAGAGUCCAUGUCAACAGGCAAGCUGACUACUCACAGCGUAACUUUUGUUCAAAGUUUUCUCUAGAAGUUCAGGAGAAGCCACUGAACUUUUCCCCUGACUAUCUUAACACUUCUUUUUUUGUAUUUGAGAGUCUGGCCAAGAUUGGAAACAGAGGUGUGAAGAAUUACAAGAGUUGAUGUUUUUGCAGUACUUUGAGCCAGGAGUCCUCAUAGAACCUACAUCCAACAACUGAUGAAAGCAGAGGCAGUGACCCACAGCCAACCACCGGGCUGAGUUCCUGGAGUUCAGAGGCCACAAUUGGCUGACGUGUUGCACCUAGGUUGUGAAGUUACCUGCAAUCUCGGAAGACCUCGCGCCUCUCCUGAUUUCACAGCACAGUGACUCUUCAGUUCCGCACAUAUGAAAACCACAAACAGGAAAUAUAACUGGACUGACAAGGUGGCUCAGUGGGUAAAGGCACCUGCUACCAGGUCUAGUGGCCUGAGUUUGAUCCACAUGAUGGAAAGAAUCAACUAACUUCUAUACGCUGUCCUCUGAGCUACACAGGUACACUGCGCCAUGCACGGACUUCCGCUCCCCCCACCAAGCCUUCUGUGUACCUGUUUUGAAGGCCUGCCACUGAAUGAACACAUUUUGAAGGCUAAGGCAAGCCCUGCUCCACUCCCUCAUGCCCUUGAUAUACACAUCACAGCAAAGUUUCCUCCACCCAGAUUCCUUUUUAAGCCACAGCAACCACGAGUGUUUAACAUCCAUCUUUACCUUUUCUUCCCCCUUUGGUCUUCAAGCCAGGUGAGCUAUAAAUUGGGGUAAAAUGUACAGCUGGGUCAACAAAGGGGGACGGGGGAUGAAACCAUUUCCUAUCAUUUUUCACAAGCUUCGAAAAACACGGUUGGCAGUGUGUGUGUGUGUGUGUGGGGUUAAAACGGGAAGCAAGAUUGCACAUAUAAAUUAAAUAUUUUCACCCCAACUCUUUUUUGAUAGCCUGGGGGUAUUAAGAAUGUGUGUUUUGGAAGGGCUCAGCAAGCAUUCCAACAGUAAAUACCUUCCUGUUCACUGUGUUCGAAGUCAGGCUGUCUUCUGGGGUUGUUUUAAAAAUAUGUGUGAAAUAUGUACUUUUAUUUCAAGCCAAGCCAAAUGUUUUCAAUCAUCCCCCCCCACGUUUGCUUGCUUCCCUUCUCCUCUUUUCCUGUCAUUUCUUGCCCCCCAGACAGUAAAAUAUACCCUGAAAUGUGUUUUUAUUUUCCAAAAGGAAGUUUAGCGAUUAAUUAUGAGUUACAUGUAAACAUAUAUUAUUGCCCUCAAAGGUAUUUGCCACAAACCUGGCCAGUGUUGUUCCCGGCUGGCAUUCUUGAGUUCAGUCUUGGGCAAUGGGAGUCAGAGAAACAUGCACAGAAACCAAGUAUUUGGCUCAUGCACGACUGGGAACCAGCAGAUAAUUGAGGGUGAGAAAUGGUCUAUAACUCUUCACCCCAGUGGUGAUGAACCUAUAAUUCCCAAAUUGUUUGUGUAAUUUUCUAUUUCUACCACAUCAGAGACAAAUAUUAUUUUGUACUGCAUGUUCUUUGUGGACUUUUUUUUUCAUCAGCAAAGUCCAAUUAAGAUGCCUGAAAGGAAAAUAACAUACCUGGGGCCAUCAGACCUGGCAAGAUGUGCCCAGGAAGGAAAAUACAGACCUCUGGUGGAAGCCACAGAGCCCCUCUGCCAAAUGUUACUCUUAUGUUGAUAGACUUUAAGAAUAUAUAUCAAGUGUCUUAAUUAGAGGAAAUUAUGUGAUAUUCAAAUUCAAUAUCAAGCUGUCGAGGAAGCUUUUAUAUUUGGCUUGGGCUGCUGGGGCAUCAGAGAUCCUGUAAAGAAGGUCUCAGACAGAGGUUCUAUGUUCCCUUUGAGUAAGCCCGUUAAAGUUCAGGAAUGUUCGUAGACAACUAUAUUUACUAACAGUACCAGGUGUCAGAGUUGGUAUUUCCAAAUUUAAAUUUUAUUUAAUGUAACUGAUUAUU